UAGCCCACCUGUGAACAGUUCCGUGGCUGCAAGAGCUUACAGAAACCAGGCACUCCUGGAGUUUUCUGCUUUAAUCUGGAAGCUGAAGUUGGAGGAAACUCAAGAACUUGGGAUGGCAGGAGAAUGUAAUGUGGGGUUUCUUUGUGGCUGGUUGAAGAGAGCCUCCUUAGUUCACCAGGAGAUCUUUGGAAGUGGAAUGCUGGAAGUGUGGCUGCACUGAGGUCUCUGGGUGAUGCACACAGGAACUGGAAGCUGUGAGAGGAGGAUGGUGCUGGCUCAGCUACGCUGAAUUGGCUCCUUGUGACAAAACCCAGAAUCCCUGCUUGGAUGUGUGGGAGAAAUGAGUUUUCCCCCACUUCCCUGGCAGGUGAGAAGCUCUCGGGGUGGCUUUCUCCUCUCUGCCUGCUUUAGUGCCAGCCCUGCCAGCGCAAUGGCAGGUAAAUGGCAACUCAGUUGCCAAAAUAGCUCUGUGUGAGCAGCAGGCGGACAAGCAAAACUGAACCGUCUGCAGUCCUGGAGAGCCUGGAUUUAGAAAGAUUUCCAGCAGUCAUCAGCAAAAGAAGAGCAAAAGCUUGCUGCUCGGAGCUCUGCUGUUCCUGAGCAGCUUUGCCGGUGGAAUUGUGGUGCUGGAAUGUUUGCGGCGAGAUGGAUGCAUGGGAGCAGAUAACAACACGUUCCAGCAGCUCCCUUCUCAUAAUCUGAAGUCCACAAACAACAGGCUUUAAGCUCAUCCCCUCUGUGGAUCUGUGAACAGCCCAUGGAUUCGAGGAGCUGUCGGAACACAGGGUGAGAAGUUUCCUUCUCCUGUGGAUCAGAAUGGCACCAGCUCCCAGGCGAGAAGAAAAAGCCUGAUGUAAAUGUGCCUCCCAAGCCUUUUGCUCAGAGAAUUUUGAUCUAUUCCCCAAUUCCCUUUCGUUUUUCCUGCCUUUGCUUCCCAAAAACAUACAUGAUCUGUCACAAUUUAUAACCUCUGGUUUAAGGAGGAUGGGGCAGACAAAUUCAUCUCUAUAAAAGCUUCUUUUUUUAUUGCA